AAAGGCAGGUUGUUGACUGGAGCCCUUCGCCUCCUGCGCCUUUCAAGCUAGCUCUUCUCAGUUAACAGCGCAACAAGUGGACAACUUGUCACAGUGCCACUCAAUUUUGGACCCCCGUGCCUCCGCUCGCACGGUCGUAGCCUCGAUAUAGUGCGCAAACCGGGUGACCAUUUGUGCCAUUUAGGCCACGGGAGCUGGCGUUAGCGUGCAAGUGAUGUUGACGAGAUAAGAGCAACGGGCUAAAGUUGCUCGUCGUUGGGGGGGGGAGGAAAUGGCAUGGGGAACUGGCGGUGUUGGGCUUCCCAAAAGCGGCCACUGGGGAAAUGGACUAAGUGGGAACUGUUCAGAGCUGAUUCGCUGAAGGACGUAUUCGUUAUAAGUCAUAUUAUUUACAAAGAAAAGUGUCAGCUGCCAAAGUCGUACGGACUGCUGGUGGCCUUCGGGGGCGCUCGCAACGAGCUAGCUGGCUAGCUGCAACGCUGGCUGCUUAUCUCGCCAAGUGGCACAUUGCUGAUGGCCUCCCAGCAAGCUAUGGAUGCAACGUCGGAUACGUGCCCCACGGUCCACAACGGGAGCGCCCAUCGGGAGUGUGCGGACAGGAACCCUGCUGCCACCGCCUCCACCGUUCUGAGGCUACAUUUCUAUCAUAGCAUCCAGGGAGUGUCCGACUGCAAAUUCCUGGGCUACCCGGCUGGCGAUUACGUAGCCGAGGAGCUAUGCAUUGAAGCCGCCAAAGCAUGCAGUAUAUCGCCUCUGUACUGCAACCUCUUUGGCCUCUUCAGGGAGCGAGACCGCUUGUGGUUCUCGCCCAACCACAUUUUCCAUCUCAAUGAAUCCGCCUCCGAAGACCUGUUUUUUAGAAUAAGGUACUACUACCCUGGCUGGUACAGUGGUGGGGCGUCCCGGGCUUAUCGUUACGGCGUUGGAAAGGGAUCGGAAAGUCCCGUUCUGGAUGAUUAUGUGAUGUCAUACUUGUUCAACCAGUGGAGGAACGAUUUUAUCAGCGGCUUGGUUAAGAUCUCCAAUUCCCACGAGACCCAGGAGGAAUGCCUUGGUAUGGCCGUGCUGGACAUGACGCGGACCGCCAAGGAGAAACAGAUGUUGCCGCUGGACAUCUACCGCACUAUAAGCUACAAGUCGUUCCUGCCCAAGGACAUGCAAGCGCAGAUCGAGGACUGCAGCUUCCUGACGCGCAAGCGCAUACGGUACCGCUUCAAGCGUUUCAUCCAGCAGUUCAGCCAGUGCUGCACCACCGUGCGCAACCUUAAGCUCAAGUACCUCAUCAGUAUGGAGUCACUGGAGAAGGCCUUCUACACAGAGACAUUCAAAAUCCAUGAGGCAUCUAGUGGCCAGCUCAUCCUGCUGGUGGCAGCCGACACCGGCAUACAGUGGUGCCGGGAGAAACUGAAAGAUUCCAACCAGGAGCUGCAGACGUUAUGUGACUUUCCGGAAGUUGUUGACAUCUGCGUCAACCAGGCCAGCAAAGAGGCUGCCACCGAGAGCCGCCUAGUCACCCUCAACAAGCAGGAUGGCAAGAACCUGGAAUUGGAGUUCCCUAGUCUGUCUGAAGCGCUCUCCUUCGUGUCCUUGAUCGACGGCCACUAUCGGCUUACUGUGGAUGCACAUCACUUCCUUUGCAAAGAAGUGGCGCCCCCCAGGCUGUUGGAGGCCAUCGCCAGCCACUGCCACGGCCCAGUCUCAAUGGAGUUCGCCAUCAACCGACUUCAGAGAUGCUCGAACAAGCGCGGCCUAUACAUUUUAAGGUGCAGCCCGAAGGACUUCAACAAGUACUUUCUGACGUUCUCUGUAGAGCUGUAUGACUCAGUCGAGUACAAACACUGCCAGAUAACCAGAUCGGCUAAUGGCGAGUUCAACCUCACCGGAACCAAGCGGAACUUCAGCAGCCUGAAGGAUCUAUUGGGCUGCUAUCAAAAGGAAACGGUGCGCUCGGACAGCUUCAUUUUCCAGUUCAGCAAGUGUUGUGGUCCUAAAUCUAAAGAUAAGUCUUGUCUGCUGGUGUGCCGGAAGAACAAGGUGUCCGAUAUUCCCCCCUCGCCAUCACUGCAUCGACCCAAUGUCAGCCAGAUGGUAUUUCACACCAUCAAGAAGGAAGAUCUCGAGUUUAUGGAGAGCCUUGGCCGAGGGACGUUUACUAAGAUAUUCAAAGGCAUGCGCAAGGAGCUCAGAGACUGUGGACUAGUACAUCAAACUGAAGUAGUCAUGAAAAUCCUGGACCAGGCCCACAGGAACUACUCUGAGUCUUUCUUUGAAGCGGCCAGCAUGAUGAGCCAGCUCUCCCACAAGCACUUGGUUCUCAACUAUGGCGUUUGCGUGUGUGGCGAGGAGAACAUCAUGGUGCAGGAAUCUGUGAAGUUUGGCUCCCUGGACACCUACUUAAAAAAGAAGAAGACUUCACUGAACAUCCUGUGGAAGCUGGAGGUGGCCAAGCAGCUGGCCUGGGCCAUGAACUUCCUAGAAGAGAAGCACCUUGUCCACGGAAACGUGUGCGCUAAAAACGUGCUCGUGAUCCGAGAGGAGGACCGCCAGGCCGGGAACCCGCCCUUCAUCAAGCUUAGCGACCCUGGCAUCAGCAUCACUGUCCUGCCUAAAGACAUUUUGAUAGAGAGGAUCCCGUGGGUACCCCCCGAGUGCAUCGACGACUCCGCCAACCUGAGCCUGGCAGCUGACAGGUGGAGCUAUGGUGUCACGCUGUGGGAACUCUGCAGCAGCGGAGACAGGCCGCUAGCGGCGCUGGAUGACUCCAAGAAAAGCCUUUUCUACGAGGACCAGCACCAGCUUCCCACGCCCAAGUGGACCGAGCUGGCCAACCUGAUUACCAACUGUAUGGACUACGAGCCCACGUUCCGGCCAACGUUUCGCGCCAUCAUCCGUGACCUGAACAGCCUCUUUACACCAGACUAUGAGCUGAUCGUGGACAGCGACAUCCUUCCCAACCGGACUGCAGCUUCCAGCUGGAUGACAGGCGGCUUCGAGAGUCAGGACCCGGCCCAGUUUGAAGAGAGACACCUCAUAUUUUUACAGCAGCUAGGAAAGGGCAACUUCGGCAGCGUGGAGAUGUGCCGCUACGACCCGCUGCAGGACAACACGGGGGAGGUGGUGGCCGUGAAGAAGCUGCAGCACAGCACUGCCGAACACAUCCGCGACUUCGAGCGCGAGAUCGACAUCCUCAAGUCUCUGCAGCACGACAAUAUCGUCAAGUACAAAGGUGUCUGCUACAGCGCAGGCCGACGCAAUCUACGGCUGAUCAUGGAAUACCUUCCCUACGGAAGCCUGCGAGACUACCUCAUGAAGAAUAAGGAGAGGAUCGACCGCAAGAAGCUGAUGCACUACACCUCUCAGAUCUGCAAGGGAAUGGAGUACCUGUCCAGCAAGCGCUACAUUCACCGCGACCUAGCAACGCGGAACAUCCUGGUGGAAAGCGAGCAGAGGGUGAAGAUCGGCGACUUCGGCCUGACCAAAGUUCUCCCUCAGGACAAGGAGUACUACAUGGUCAAAGAGCCAGGAGAGAGCCCCAUCUUUUGGUACGCUCCCGAGUCGCUGAGCGAGAGCAGGUUCUCCGUGGCGUCGGAUGUGUGGAGCUUCGGAGUGGUGCUUUACGAGCUCUUCACCCACAGUGAGAAGAACUGCAGCCCUCCAGCCAUAUUCAUGUCCAUGAUGGGCAACGACAAGCAGGGCCAGCUGAUCGUCUACCACCUGAUGGAAUUGCUCAAGUCGGGCAGCAGGCUGCCGCAACCCGUCCACUGUCCCGACGAGAUGUACGAGAUCAUGGCGGAGUGCUGGGACAACGACUCGGGCCUACGUCCGUCCUUCAACGAGCUCAGCCUGCGCAUCGACCUGCUCAGGGACAGCGAUUGACCGCCCAGCACUGCCCACUAUCACCCGAAGUGCCGCAGCCCCCCUUUUCAACUAGAUGUCCACCGGAGAGCGAAGAAAAAGCAUUGCGUCCAAAAUGCAUCUGUUCGAAUAUUUUGGUUUUUGUUGAAAUAUUUUCUAAUGUAUUAUAUAGACUGAGUAGACUUUAAUUAGUCAAAUUUAAACAUGGAGGCGCUUGCUUCUAUGUGUGUGCGUGCGCAUACCCGGCGAGCCUGCAUAGGCGUUUGAUGCUGCGUAUUCAAUAUCUUGUACUUUUUCCACAUUCCUUAAACUAUAAAAAGCUAUUAAUAGUUAAGGAAGAAGGAGUUUGCUAAAGAGAGAGAGUGUUGGCGAGAAUAAAAGCGAGAGUGUGGAUAUUUGAAAGGAGGCUCGCCGGCUCCGUUCAUUUGAACAUACCCAGCACGUACGUACAUUCGCGGCACAAGUUUUUCUUUUUCACCCUCAGGUACAGCAUACAUUUUGAAUACAGUCAAGUAUGCAAAACACAGUAUUUGAUGCUUUAUAUACUAUCGUAUGGCUUACUGUGGUGUGGCUCGCUAAACCCGGAAAUGUGUUUUCCCCGUGAGGUCAAUGUUAUCUGCGGCGACGUUAAGACGCCGAUUCAAAUUUCAAAUCGCUGAAAAACCUGAUCGGCCACUCAUGAAAACGGUUGCAAAACCUCGCACACUACACCACAGUUCAGUCAGGUUCGGGGGUGGCAACCUUCACACACACACACACCAUGAUUGUGAAAGUGCGCCUAAAGAAACACCUACAUCUGUCAGACAAUCAGAUGAUAGUUAGGUCACGGCCAUCCUCGGCCUACGUUUUACAACCAGGUCGGAGGAGUUUCUGAAAAGCGGUGCCAUUGUCACCACUCGGCCUCGAACCGGUACAAUGGAAAAGGAAGAAGAAAAAAAAAGCUAACUCAGCUAUGUUGUUUCUGCGGUUUCGGUGUAGUGAGGCGUGCAAUGACCUCGACGUUGGAGAGACCAAGCAGCCUUUCAGCAAACACAUGGCACAACAAAGGCGAACAGUUUCUUUGUGAAUCAAGUUUCUGUGUAUAGCCUUUAAUCACAAAAGAGUCUCAAAGGGCUUUUCAAGGCCAUAGAACGGUGAAGCGGCAGGAAAACAGACCAAAGUCCAGAUGUCAGUGGGUGAGGCCGGGCGAGAGACUAGUUGCAUCAUAAAUGUGGUAUAAACGAAUGCACGAGAGUAGAAACAAGUCUUACGUUGAGGAUUCCUUUGCAUCUAAAAACGAAGAGACAUAACUUCGUCCAAACUCUGGCUUGGGAAAGUUGAUUUGAAAGGGGUGAAAGAAGCCAUCUAUGUAGAACUAGAAAAGCUGUGUCUAAACAGGGGAGGUUUGUCUUCACCUGUUGUCUGCUUACAACAAUGUCCUAACGUUUGUGGGCCUCUUCAGAAAGUGCAAUCGCCUAUCAACCUUUGUGGAAAACCUCAUCGGAAAUUCACUACCCCAGUAGUCUUUCUUCAACGUGACGGUAGCAUUUUAUUUUCUUAUGGUGUAAAUUGAGGAGCUACAAAAAAUAACGAUGUCUGAUAUUAAUAUAGUCAGUUAAAUUCCAGCAAGCAGGUUGACCGUUCUGUUAAUGUAAACCUCAGUUCUGACCUGACUUCCCCUGAACUCAAAAACUGGGAGGAUCCAGGUCCAGAACAGCUGUACUGAAUUAGUUCAAGUAUGAUCACCUUCUGUAAGCUCGUUCACGGGCACAACCAAAAGACGUCAAUGGAGCCCCGAUAUGUCCAUUCGCCAUGGAAACUAAUAGAAACGUCGAGUUACUUACAGUACUUUCCCCCCCCCCCCCCUUGGAAUUAGAGCUGCUCAUGCAGGCAUCGAGUGAUAUUAAAAUAUAUUCCACUGUGACGGUGAAACAAAGAAGCAAUCGAUGCACAAGUGAAUGUGGAAGUUUUAUUGCAUUACUAUUGGAUGCACUGACUUGAACAGCACAAAGGCGCACAUUAAAUUGAAGCAUAUAGGAAUAUGUUUUGGAUAACAUCUGAUAAUUAUGUGCAAUCCGGCAUCUAAAAGCGUACUUGGAAGCACUUUAAUUAAAUACAAAAUGUAAACAACAUUCAGGCAUAUUUUUGGUCAACUAUGAAUACUAAUAGACAUUGAUUAAUGAAGUAAAUAUUCCUUUAACAUGGAACACAAUUUUAUUUACAUAUUUGUGUCAUUGAUUUUUAGACUAAAAUGGAAUAUGAAUAUACAGGAAAUACAAAUAUAUACAUUUGAUUUGUACUCAGCCAACAAAAAGACAUUUUGUGCAUGAGCAGUGAUGAGAUAUGCAUGACGUGUCCCGCCCACAUCACAUUUUGGAGGCCAAAAUGCCAUCCAAUUAGCCAAUUAGCUCAAGGGCUAAAUUGGAUUUUUUUUUUUUUUUUUUUUGUUUUUUUAAAUGAACAGAUAACUCGGGUGAUUUGCAGAUGAGAUCAAAAGAAAAGUGUUAAAAAAAAAAAUGGUUUACUCUAAAACUAUAUAUUUUUUAAAUUUUGUUUUUUUUUUACAAUAAAUCAUUUAACCAAUUAUUUAAUAAGAUGAAUGGAUACAAUACUAAUUCAUGAAUAAAGAUUUAAAUUAGUUUAUUUUACUCAUGAAACAAUUCCUUUUAAAAUUUAUUCAGAAUUAAACCAAUUAAUAAACAAAAUGUAUAUCUAUUUAUUGUUAUUAACAUUCAACCAGUUACAAGGAAAUGACUACAAAAUAGAUCACAUGAAAAAAUAAAUUUAAUUAAACCAUUUUAAGGAAAUCAGCUAUAUUUGCGACUCUUGAUAAUGUAAAUGCUCGAGUCAGAUUCCCCGUCUUACUCUUGAGUUUUCACAUUACCUGCUUGCUGGAAUACCCCUCGGAUGACAGAGAAUCUACAAAGACAAUGUACCUGUCUGUUUUUUUUAUUACACCAGGUUGUAUGUGUGUGUGUGUAUUACAAUAUACUAAAAUAAUGACAAAGUCAAAAGAAAUACAUCUUAAACAUGAGUCUUGUUUAAUUAUUUGGUCUUCUUGGCAAAAAAACAAAUAACAAAAACGGAUUGGUUAGAAAGUAACCAUGGAGCACAUGGCUGGAGUCCAGUUAAAUUAGAGUAAAAUAACUCAAAGAAGGGGAGGCUACUUGGUCAUUCGGAGCUGUAAAUAUGAAGAACAAAAUAACAUCCACUAAAGAAAACGCAUUGGGGGAGGGGUGGACUUUUAAAACACAAUAACAUUAACAAGUCUACAAGAAUCCAUAAAUCCAUUUUCUGAGCCGCUUCUCCUCACUAAGGGUCGCGGGCGUGCUGGAGCCUAUCCCAGCUGUCAUCGGGCAGGAGGCGGGGUACACCCUGAACCGGUUGCCAGCCAAUCGCAGGGCACAAACAAACAAACAACCAUUCACGCUCACACUCACAGUCACACCUACGGGCAAUUUAGAGUUGUCAAUUAACUUAGCGUGUAUGUUUUUGGGAUGUGGGAGGAAACCGGAGUGCCCGGAGAAAACCCACGCAGGCACGGGGAGAACAUGCAAACUCCACACAGGCGGGGCCGGGGGAUUGAACCCCGGUCCUCAGAACUGUGAGGCAGACGCUCUAACCAGUUGUUCACCGUGCCGCCUACAAGAAGAGUAUAAGAAAAAAAAAAAACGAAGGAACGUCAAGGCAACAACAAUAGAGGCACAAGGAAUUGUUAAGUUUUGUUUUUGAGAAAUAUUGUAAAGUUGUGUUAGGGUGCAAUUAUUGCAUUUAUUUUUUUAGAAAAAGGCAAAAGUUGCACCUUUGGUCCAUUUAAAGAGUUGGGAAGAACCCAGAUUUGUUACUUAUGUAAAUGGAGGCUACAUCAUGUAGGCUCAGCCCCAAUGUCAUCCUACUUAAUAUAUGAAAAAUAGAAUUUAAUAUUGUAUUAUUGUGAUCAUUUGUGGACUUCUUCUUUUCUUCUAACAGUUCCUCUCUUUCUUUCCAUGGCGAGGUGCAUCAAAUGCUCAAGCGUGGAUGUUGGGACCGAGCCAAAAGGAGAGAAAAACCCUACGAGGAGGCCCGCUUCGCCUCGUAGGGGGACUCGUAGACCUCCAUGGGGGGGCAGGUGCACACCAGCAGCCACAAAAGAAGGAAACUGACCAAGGGGAAGGCCGCAAACUCCCUGGUGUAAGGUCUGUCCCAAUUGGAGGAGGAGACGCAGGCCAACGAGUGAGGGGACAUCUGGAAAGAAACCCGGGUGAGACGGCGGACGGGUCUCCAUAUUGGUCGGCGUUUUUAACACGGCGACGACAAUAACCUUGAGGGGGUUGACGCGAGAGUCCAUCCUGCCCUCCUCGAUGUCGGCGAUCUCCUGCCGGAUGCCGAGCAGGGCGUCGCAGAAGCGGUCCAUCUCCGCUUUGUCCUCAGACUCUGUGGGCUCGAUCAUCAGCGUUCCCGACACGGGCCACGACAUGUGGCGACCUUGAUGUAGGCCCAGGAGAUGGGCAGGAUGGCGCUGGAUCCCCACGGCGCGGCGCUGAUGGUGCCCAGGGAGCUGCUGCUGUUGACCGAGCGCAUGGAGACCACCGGGUGGCUCGGUAGGAACGGUGCC